rnacentral:rRNA from 1 species
UACGUAGGGGGCAAGCGUUGUCCGGAUUUAUUGGGCGUAAAGAGCGUGUAGGCGGCCUGAAAGGUCAGCUGUGAAAACUCGAGGCUCAACCUCGAGACGUCGGUUGAAACCAUCUGGCUAGAGUCCGGAAGAGGAGUGUGGAAUUCCCGGUGUAGCGGUGAAAUGCGCAGAUAUCGGGAAGAACACCCGUGGCGAAGGCGGCACUCUGGGCCUGUACUGACGCUGAGGAGCGAAAGCGUGGGGAGCGAACAGG